rnacentral:rRNA from 1 species
GUGCCAGCCGCCGCGGUAAGACGAACCACCCAAACGUUAUUCGGAAUUACUGGGCUUAAAGAGUGCGUAGGCGGCCUUGUAAGUAGGGUGUGAAAUCCCACAGCUCAACUGUGGAACUGCGCUCUAAACUACAAGGCUAGAGGGAUAUAGAGGUGAGCGGAACUGAUGGUGGAGCGGUGAAAUGCGUUGAUAUCAUCAGGAACACCGGAGGCGAAGGCGGCUCACUGGGUAUCUUCUGACGCUGAGGUACGAAAGCUAGGGGAGCGAACGGGAUUAGAAACCCCAGUAGUCC